AGCGAGCUAACUUAGCAAGCGUGCCACACUCCCCAGAGAUCGAGCGAAGAUGUUUGGCGUCGGCGGCAUCGUGAGCGACCUGACGGGGGGCCUCCGGGGCGCCCACCUCAAGGGCUCCGUCGUCCUCAUGCGCAAGAACGCGCUCGACUUCAACGACUUCGGCGCCACCGUCAUGGACGGCGUCACCGAGCUCCUCGGCCGCGGCGUCACCUGCCAGCUCAUCAGCUCCACCAACGUCGACCACAGUGAGCACUCACUCGCCACUCCCCGUUUUGUAAUCCCUGCCACUGUGAUACAUGGAAAACGGAAGCAGAUCCGCAUCCUCACGGCCGAACCAAGCAAAUAAUAUAUAUAAAGAACUAAAAUGCACGUAUGGUUACGGAUGCAUGCUUGAGCUUGAGCUUGAGAGACAGGGACGUGCAAAAAAUAACUUAAUAAUGGAGUAACUAAUGUGAGACAUGACGCACGGAGGAGUUUACCUUACUACUAAUUAAUUGUCGAGCAGACAACGGUGGGCGCGGGAAGGUGGGCGCGGAGGCGAACCUGGAGCAGUGGCUCCUGCCGACGAACCUGCCGUUCAUCACCACCGGCGAGAACAAGUUCGCCGUCACCUUCGACUGGUCGGUGGACAAGCUGGGGGUGCCGGGCGCCAUCAUCGUCAAGAACAACCACGCCUCCGAGUUCUUCCUCAAGACCAUCACCCUCGACAACGUGCCCGGCCGCGGCACCAUCGUCUUCGUCGCCAACUCAUGGGUCUACCCGCAGGCCAAGUACCGCCACAACCGCGUCUUCUUCGCCAACGACGUGAGCAUUUUAUACGAGUACCACUCCAUGGUAGCUAGUACGAUGGAUUUCGCUUGCUCGUUGCCUGACUGGUCGGUUCCGUUGGGACAUACGUGCCGCAGACGUACCUGCCGCACCAGAUGCCGCCGGCGCUGAAGCCGUACCGCGACGACGAGCUCCGGAACCUGAGGGGCGACGACCAGCAGGGGCCCUACCUGGACCACGACCGCGUCUACCGCUACGACGUCUACAACGACCUCGGCGACUCCCGCGACGUCCUCGGCGGCUCCAAGGACCUCCCCUACCCGCGCCGCUGCCGCACCGGCCGGAAGCCCUCGGACAGCAGUGCGUGUCUCCUUCCUUUCGAUCUCCCCAUAACGUGUACUUGGUCUGACAAGCAUGUGUGGCCGACGCAGAGCCCGACCACGAGAGCCGGCUGCUGCCGCUGGUGCAGAACGUCUACGUGCCGCGCGACGAGCUCUUCGGCCACCUCAAGCAGUCGGACUUCCUGGGCUACACGCUCAAGGCGCUGGUGGACGGGAUCAUACCGGCCAUCCGCACCUACGUCGACCUCUC
rnacentral:lncRNA from 1 species